rnacentral:lncRNA from 1 species
CAGUGAGGAAAACUCCCCUGCACCAACUCCCGCGCCGGCGCGCGCUCUGGACAGGGAGCCUGUGGUGCAACGAGGCCGACAGUUCGUUCCUGCUCCCGGAGGACCCGGGGUUUCGGAUUUGGGCUCAGCAGGCAACAGCGAUGGCCGCCACUGUCACUCCGGCGCUCCAGGCGGGCGGCGGGUUUUAGGCCUCGGCCCAAUGUCACCUGUUAACCUUUGGCGCGCCGCCGCCUCCCUUCGAAGGCACACAAACCGCCCCACGGCCACCCGCGUCUGCCAAGAGUUGGAGAAAAACAAGCGAGGCGCAGACAAUCUCUGACAGAUUCGCGUAGAAAAAAAAAUACAGAAGUUGAAGCUCACAGAGGAUUGGUGAUGUAUCGAAGACAACAGGGCUAAAGAAGAGCCAGCAUUCAUGACAAUAAGGACCAAGCUCCUCCUAACUGCUCUGUUCCAGUGGCUGCCAAAAUACCAUCUUGCUGCCAGGCAUGGUAGCCCCAGAAUUGGGGAGGCUGAGGCAGGAGGAUUGGUACGAGUUCAAGGCUAGCCUCUGCUACAUAGUGAGUUCAAGGCCAGCCUGAACUACAUAGCAAGAGCCUAUCUCAAAAAAAAAAACCAUUUUGCUCCCAGAAACAGGGCAGAAGAAAGAAAUAUUACUAAUCUACAUCAAAAGGAAAUAUAAUAUGGAAGUACAGCCUUGGAGUUUAAGUGGCAUUUUUCUAAUUUACCUUCUGCUUGAGCUUGAUUUGAACGUUAUAUAAUUAAAUCUUUGAGUCUCAGGUUGUUAAUCUGUAAAAUGGGAACAAUAACAAGACCUGUCUCCUUGGGCUGGCAUGAAAAUCAAAUUAAUGGAAGAAGAUGCGUGAAUAUACAGAUAGUCCCCAACUUACAACAGUUCAAUUUAUGUUUUUUCAACUUCAUUAUGGUGCAAACUCAGUAGGCAUUUGGUGGAAACUAUACUUUGAAUUUUGAUCUUUUCCCAUACGAGCAGUAUGCAGUAUGGUGCUCUCUCAAUGCUUGGCAGUGACAGUGAGCUGCAGCAAUCACAGGGGAAACAAUCAAUACUCUACAGGACACUCUGUGAUGGUCAGGAG